CCCUUUAAUCUUUUCUCCAACUGAAAAACCCUUUGACUCAAAGAAAUUAACAUCAAUAUUCUUCCCUAAUUCCACUUUUCUUACUAAAAAAAAAAAGCUUAUUGGGAGUGAUUUGUGAAGAGGAGGAUGGAACAGGAGUGGGAGCUGGAGCGGGUCCCUUUUUCCUCUGCUCUUCUUCUUAGACUUGCACGGACUUCCUCCUUUGAGUUCUCAUCUUCGG
rnacentral:lncRNA from 1 species